rnacentral:rRNA from 1 species
AGUGAACGCUGGCGGUAGGCCUAACACAUGCAAGUCGAACGGCAGCACAGUAAGAGCUUGCUCUUACGGGUGGCGAGUGGAGGACGGGGGAGGAAUACAUCGGAAUCUACUUUUUCGUGGGGGAUAACGUAGGGAAACUUACGCUAAUACCGCAUACGACCUACGGGUGAAAGCAGGGGAUCUUCGGACCUUGCGCGAUUGAAGGAGCCGAUGUCGGAUUAGCUAGUUGGCGGGGUAAAGGCCCACCAAGGCGACGAUCCGUAGCUGGUCUGAGAGGAUGAUCAGCCACACUGGAACUGAGACACGGUCCAGACUCCUACGGGAGGCAGCAGUGGGGAAUAUUGGACAAUGGGCGCAAGCCUGAUCCAGCCAUACCGCGUGGGUGAAGAAGGCCUUCGGGUUGUAAAGCCCUUUUGUUGGGAAAGAAAAGCAGCAGGUUAAUACCCCGCUGUUCUGACGGUACCCAAAGAAUAAGCACCGGCUAACUUCGUG